rnacentral:rRNA from 1 species
AGUGGCGGACGGGUGAGUAACGCGUGAGAAUCUGCCUUGGGGUCGGGGACAACCACUGGAAACGGUGGCUAAUACCGGAUAAGCCGAUUGGUGAAAGAUUUAUUGCCCGAAGAGGAGCUCGCGUCUGAUUAGCUAGUUGGUGAGGUAAGAGCUCACCAAGGCAGCGAUCAGUAGCUGGUCUGAGAGGACGAUCAGCCACACUGGGACUGAGACACGGCCCAGACUCCUACGGGAGGCAGCAGUGGGGAAUUUUCCGCAAUGGGCGAAAGCCUGACGGAGCAAGACCGCGUGAGGGAGGAAGGCUCUUGGGUUGUAAACCUCUUUUCUCAGGGAAGAAGCUCUGACGGUACCUGAGGAAUCAGCCUCGGCUAACUCCGUGCCAGCAGCCGCGGUAAUACGGAGGAGGCAAGCGUUAUCCGGAAUUAUUGGCGUAAAGCGUCCGCAGGUGGCGAUUCAAGUCUGCUGUCAAAGCACGGGGCUUAACUCCGUAAAGGCAGUGGAAACUGAAUAGCUAGAGUGCCGUAGGGGUAGAGGGAAUUCCCGGUGUAGCGGUGAAAUGCGUAGAGAUCGGGAAGAACAUCGGUGGCGAAAGCGCUCUACUGGACGGCAACUGACACUCAGGGACGAAAGCUAGGGGAGCGAAUGGGAUUAGAUACCCC